rnacentral:tRNA from 1 species
AAGGAUUUAAGUUAAACCCAAACUAAUAGCCUUCAAAGCUGUAAAUAGAGAUUUACUGCUUUAAGCCUUG